rnacentral:rRNA from 1 species
GACGAACGCUGGCGGUGUGCUUAACACAUGCAAGUCGAGCGGUAAGGCCCUUUCGGGGGUACACGAGUGGCGAACGGGUGAGUAACACGUGAGUAACCUGCCCUCAUCUCUGGGAUAACAGUCGGAAACGGUUGCUAAUACUGGAUAUGAGCUUGCAAGGCAUCUUGUGGGUUGGAAAGAUUUUUUUGGUUGGGGAUGGACUCGCGGCCUAUCAGCUUGUUGGUGAGGUAGUGGCUCACCAAGGCUUCGACGGGUAGCCGGCCUGAGAGGGCGACCGGCCACAUUGGGACUGAGAUACGGCCCAAACUCCUACGGGAGGCAGCAGUGGGGAAUAUUGCACAAUGGACGGAAGUCUGAUGCAGCAACGCCGCGUGCGGGAUGACGGCCUUCGGGUUGGAAACCGCUUUCAAUUGUGACGAAGCUUUUUGUGACGGUAGCAGUAGAAGAAGCACCGGCUAACUACGUG